rnacentral:rRNA from 1 species
CCUACGGGCGGCAGCAGUGAGGAAUAUUGGUCAAUGGGCGUAAGCCUGAACCAGCCAAGUCGCGUGAGGGAUGAAGGUUCUAUGGAUCGUAAACCUCUUUUAUAAGGGAAUAAAGUGUGGGACGUGUCCUAUGUUGUAUGUACCUGAUGAAUAAGGAUCGGCUAACUCCGUGCCAGCAGCCGCGGUAAUACGGAGGAUCCGAGCGUUAUCCGGCUUUAUUGGGUUUAAAGGGUGCGUAGGCGGCCUUUUAAGUCCGCGGUGAAAGUCUGUGGCUCAACCAUAGAAUUGCCGUUGAAACUGGGGGGCUUGAGUAUGUUUGAGGCAGGCGGAAUGCGUGGUGUAGCGGUGAAAUGCUUAGAUAUCACGCAGAACCCCGAUUGCGAAGGCAGCCUGCCAAGCCAUGACUGACGCUGAUGCACGAACGCGUGGGGAUCAAACAGGAUUAGAGACCCUUGUAGUC